rnacentral:rRNA from 1 species
UAAUACGUAGGGGGCAAGCGUUGUUCGGAAUUACUGGGCGUAAAGGGCGCGUAGGCGGCACGGCAAGUCGGGAGUGAAAGCCCGGGGCUCAACCCCGGAGGGUCUCUCGAAACUGCCGAGCUAGAGUGCGGAAGAGGCAACUGGAAUUCCCAGUGUAGCGGUGAAAUGCGUAGAUAUUGGGAAGAACACCGGAGGCGAAGGCGGGUUGCUGGGCCGACACUGACGCUGAGGCGCGAAAGCCAGGGGAGCAAACGGGAUUAGAUACCCCGGUAGUCCUGGCCCUAAACGAUGGAUACUUGGUGUAUGGGGUUCUCACAGUCCCCGUGUGCCGUAGCUAACGCGGUAAGUAUCCCGCCUGGGGAGUACGGUCGCAAGGCUG